rnacentral:rRNA from 1 species
UUAGAAGUAAAUAAACAAAUAGUUUGCCAGAGUACUAUGAACUAUUAAAUUUAAAACUCAAAGGGCUUGGCGGUGUUUUAGACUUUUUAGGGGAACCUGUCUCAUAAUCGAUAAUCCACGAUAUACCUGACUUUUAUUUGCCUUCAGUUUGUAUACCGUCGUCGUCAGGUAACUUUUUAGAAAAAAGAAGUUAGCAAUAAAGCAUUAUUAAUCUUUUACGUCAGAUCAAGGUGCAGCUAAUAUAAAAGUGAGGAUGGGUUACAAUUAUUAUAAUUAUAAAUACGAAAAUAAUAACUUGAAAAGUAAUAUGAAGGAGGACUUAAAAGUAAAAUGAACUAUAAAAACAUUUUGAAUACAGCUCUGAAACGUGC